rnacentral:rRNA from 1 species
AGAACGAACGCUGGCGGCGUGGAUAAGACAUGCAAGUCGAACGCGACUUAUCGAGUUAGCAAUAACUUGGUAAGUUGAGUGGCGAAAGGGUGCGUAACACGUGGGAAUUUACCAAGAAGUGGGGAAUAGCUCGACGAAAGUCGAAUUAAUACCGCAUGUGAUCGAAAGAUCAAAGUCGGGGACCGCAAGGCCUGACGCUUUUUGAGAAGCCCGCGGCCCAUCAGCUAGUUGGUGAGGUAAUGGCUCACCAAGGCUAUGACGGGUAGCUGGUCUGAGAGGACGACCAGCCACACUGGAACUGAGACACGGUCCAGACACCUACGGGUGGCAGCAGUCGAGAAUUUUUCACAAUGGACGAAA